AUUGAACGCUAGCGGCAUGCCUAACACAUGCAAGUCGAACGAGUGGCGGACGGGUGAGUAAUGUAUGGGAAACUGCCUGAUGGAGGGGGAUAACUACUGGAAACGGUGGCUAAUACCGCAUACCAUCGGAUGUGCCCAGAUGGGAUUAGCUAGUAGGUGGGGUAAAGGCUCACCUAGGCGACGAUCCCUAGCUGGUUUGAGAGGAUGACCAGCCACACUGGAACUGAGACACGGUCCAGACUCCUACGGGAGGCAGCAGGGGGGAAUAUUGCACAAUGGGCGAAAGCCUGAUGCAGCCAUGCCGCGUGUAUGAUGAAGGCCUUCGGGUUGUAAAGUACUUUCGGCAGGGAGGCGUUACCCGCAGAAGAAGCACCGGCUAACUCCGUGCCAGCAGCCGCGGUAAUAC
rnacentral:rRNA from 1 species